AUUGAACGCUGGCGGCAGGCUUAACACAUGCAAGUCGAGCGAGCGGCGGAUGGGUGAGUAAUGUAUGGGGAUCUGCCCGAUAGAGGGGGAUAACUACUGGAAACGGUGGCUAAUACCGCAUACUAUCGGAUGAACCCAUAUCGGAUUAGCUAGUAGGUGGGGUAAAGGCUCACCUAGGCGACGAUCCCUAGCUGGUUUGAGAGGAUGACCAGCCACACUGGGACUGAGACACGGCCCAGACUCCUACGGGAGGCAGCAGUGGGGAAUAUUGCACAAUGGGGGAAAGCCUGAUGCAGCCAUGCCGCGUGUAUGAAGAAGGCCUUCGGGUUGUAAAGUACUUUUAGCGGGGAGGCGUUACCCGCAGAAGAAGCACCGGCUAACUACGUGCCAGCAGCCGCGGUAAUAC
rnacentral:rRNA from 1 species